GAUGAACGCUGGCGGCGUGCCUAAUACAUGCAAGUCGAGCGAACGGACGAGAAGCUUGCUUCUCUGAUGUUAGCGGCGGACGGGUGAGUAACACGUGGAUAACCUACCUAUAAGACUGGGAUAACUUCGGGAAACCGGAGCUAAUACCGGAUGAUAUUUUGAACCGCAUGGUUCAAAAGUGAAAGACGGUCUUGCUGUCACUUAUAGAUGGAUCCGCGCUGCAUUAGCUAGUUGGUAAGGUAACGGCUUACCAAGGCAACGAUGCAUAGCCGACCUGAGAGGGUGAUCGGCCACACUGGAACUGAGACACGGUCCAGACUCCUACGGGAGGCAGCAGUAGGGAAUCUUCCGCAAUGGGCGAAAGCCUGACGGAGCAACGCCGAGUGAGUGAUGAAGGUCUUCGGAUCGUAAAACUCUGUUAUUAGGGAAGAACAUAUGUGUAAGUAACUGUGCACAUCUUGACGGUACCUAAUCAGAAAGCUACGGCUAACUACGUG
rnacentral:rRNA from 1 species